AUAUACUACGCAUUAUCAAACCAAUACCUACCAAACCCACUCUCUCACCCGAUGCCCCCGUCCACUCCCCACCCUCAACACCCCCUCACCCCGUGGCUAACAGCUCCGACUGCCGUAGCAAUGGCUUUUGUUAAAGCCCAGAAAACAAAAGCUUACUUCAAGCACUACCAAGUCUCGUUUAAGAGAAGGAGAGAGGGAAAGACGGACUACCGAGCUAGGGUGCGUCUUAUCAAUCAAGACAAGAACAAGUACAAUACUCCGAAAUAUCGCUUUGUUGUGAGCAAUACACUGAAGACCCAUCACAGCUGAUUGCUGCUCAGAAGGUUCCUGCGGCCGCAGCUAAGAAAACCCCAGCUCCUGCAGCUGCUCAGCAGCAGCAAUCCAAGCUGACGGCUAAGCUUCCUUCGAAGCCGCUCCCCCCAGCUCAAGCUGGUUUUUGUCUUGUUUAACAUAAGCACUAUUUAAGAUUGUGAAAACUUCAAUUAUGCUGGAAGAUUGCUGUGCGCUCCAGUGGUGACUUUUUUUUGAGAGUCUUUGAGCAAGAAAAUGUAUAGCAACGGAGACUCUUCUUCUCCGGAGGACUCCAAUGGCGAAUCAAAUGAAAAGGCUCAGAGAUCGAUCAGAGUUUGUUGCAGGUUUAGAUGGUCCACAUUGGUACAUGAAUGUUCAUAGCUGUUUUCUUUGAAUUCUUGAUGCAAAUGCCCACAUGCGGGUUUGAUGAACUAAAAGUGUAUACAGAACAGACAAACAUUUGCCUCAUCUGGAGAAUACAGGGCAAUGACUGACAUGUGAGCAACAAACCCACCAUAUGAUGCAUAAUAAACAGAUCUUUGCCAAACGGGCUGAAGAGCACGAAAGAUUCAUCAACAAGGUUGCACUGAUUGGGAGCUUUUUGGGUUGAUAGGUAACUUAUUUGUUGAGUGUUCUUGGGUUUGGAACAUUCUGCUUUCUGUUGGGUGCCAGGCCUCAAGAUGUCCCUUAUGCAUAUUGUUUGCUCUCUAUCAUAUUUGUUCCUCUACGGUGGAUUUAUUAUCGAUACAAGAAAUGGCAUUAUUAUCUCUUGGACUUCUGCUACUACGCCAACACACUAUUCUUGGUCAUGCUUCUUUGUUUUCCUAGAAAUGAGAAGUUUUUCAUGAUUUGCUUCUCUUUUGCAGAGGGUCCACUGGCUUGGGCACUGAUUGUGUGGAGAUGCAGCUUAGCCUUUAAUUCUUUCGACAAAAUUGUAAGCGUCUUCAUACAUCUUUUGUCUGGUAAGUUGGACAUCCUUCUCUACAAAAUAAGACAAAGGAACUUAAGAACCUUUUGAUCCAACUUCGGCCCUUCUUUUCCUUGAUCCCCAAAGCAAAAGCUGCAAAAAUUAUCUGUGGAAUUCUUGAUACGGUGGCCAAAAUAGCUGCCGCAUCUGAUGUUCAGAUUGCCCUAUGCAAGGAAAUUGUGCAAUAGACACGUGAUGAGAAGUGAACUUUCCUUCGUUAGCGCACUGAGGCAAAGCUUGCAGCUCUAUUGAUGGAGACCAAGGAAGAUUCCGAAACUUUAGCUCUCCUUUCUGGACCAAUGAAGGAGCUAAAGCUAUAGACGAAUGUCCUGACCUCAAGACCAAGGCUGCUGAGUCAAAUAAAGCAGCAAAGAUAGAUUCAAGAUCAAAAUCCAUUGUUGAAAGGAUGCUUGAUAAAACUGGCUCACCCGGGCUACAAAUUAGGUUAAGUUUAGCGCAACAGCACUACGAGAAACACAAGCAGUGUCUACUAUAGGGAAGGCAUAAAUCAGUUCCUGUGUGAUAGUCUAACAAGCGCUAAUGCUGAGCUCUUGACAGUUUAUGGAACAGAAGAAGCAACUGAUACACUGAUUGAGCAGAUAACUUGGGAUCAAGACCCCAUACUACGUUAUGGAUAAAUGUAUGCAUUUGCAUUGGCUUACAGUAGAACUGCAAACAACAAGGCCAUUCGACAGCUGCUGCAUUUUGCUGCAUCAGAAUUGAGUGACAAUGUUAGGCACACUGCAGUUUUGGCAAUGGCUUAGUUUCUCUUACGUUCAGACUCCUCAAAUCGUCUCCCUGCUCUCUGAAUCAUAUAAUCCACAUGUUCAUCAUAGUCCAGUUCUUAUGUUUGGCAUAUCAUGUGCUGGUACUGGUCUGAGCGAGGCCAUAUCAUUGCUG